UCGGGAAUAUUGCGCAAUGGAGGAAACUCUGACGCAGUGACGCCGCGUAUAGGAAGAAGGUUUUCGGAUUGUAAACUAUUGUCGUUAGGGAAGAGAAAGGACAGUACCUAAGGAGGAAGCUCCGGCUAACUACGUGCCAGCAGCCGCGGUAAUACGUAGGGAGCGAGCGUUAUCCGGAAUUAUUGGGUGUAAAGGGUGCGUAGACGGGAGAACAAGUUAGUUGUGAAAUACCUCGGCUCAACUGAGGAACUGCAACUAAAACUGUACUUCUUGAGUGCAGGAGAGGUAAGUGGAAUUCCUAGUGUAGCGGUGAAAUGCGUAGAUAUUAGGAGGAACACCAGUGGCGAAGGCGACUUACUGGACUGUAACUGACGUUGAGGCUCGAAAGCGUGGGGAGCAAACAGGAUUAGAUACC
rnacentral:rRNA from 1 species